UAGGUGGUUUGUCGCGUUGUUCGUGAAAUCUCACGGCUUAACUGUGAGCGUGCGGGCGAUACGGGCAGACUUGAGUACUGCAGGGGAGACUGGAAUUCCUGGUGUAGCGGUGGAAUGCGCAGAUAUCAGGAGGAACACCGGUGGCGAAGGCGGGUCUCUGGGCAGUAACUGACGCUGAGGAGCGAAAGCGUGGGGAGCGAACAGGAUUAGAUACCCUGGUAGUCCACGCCGUAAACGGUGGGUACUAGGUGUGGGUUUCCUUCCUUGGGAUCCGUGCCGUAGCUAACGCAUUAAGUACCCCGCCUGGGGAGUACGGCCGCAAGGCUAAAACUCAAAGAAAUUGACGGGGGCCCGCACAAGCGGCGGAGCAUGUGGAUUAAUUCGAUGCAACGCGAAGAACCUUACCUGGGUUUGACAUGCACAGGACGCCGGCAGAGAUGUCGGUUCCCUUGUGGCCCGUGUGCAGGUGGUGCAUGGCUGUCGUCAGCUCGUGUCGUGAGAUGUUGGGUUAAGUCCCGCAACGAGCGCAACCCUUGUCUCAUGUUGCCAGCGGGUAAUGCCGGGGACUCGUGAGAGACUGCCGGGGUCAACUCGGAGGAAGGUGGGGAUGACGUCAAGUCAUCAUGCCCCUUAUGUCCAGGGCUUCACACAUGCUACAAUGGCCGGUACAAAGGGCUGCGAUGCCGCGAGGUUAAGCGAAUCCUUUUAAAGCCGGUCUCAGUUCGGAUCGGGGUCUGCAACUCGACCCCGUGAAGUCGGAGUCGCUAGUGAUCGC
rnacentral:rRNA from 1 species